rnacentral:SRP_RNA from 1 species
ACAGGUAUCAGUACAUGCCUGUAGUCCUGGCUACUCGGGAGGUUUAGGCAGGAUAAUUGCUUGAGCCUAGGAGUUCUGGGUUAGCUUUAGUUUGUUAAGCAAGCGCACAUCCACACUAAAUUUGGCAAUGAUACAGUGACCUCCCAGGAGAAGGCAACCACCGGGUUGCCUAAGGUGGGGCAAAUCAGCCCAGGCAGAAAUGGAGCAGCUCAAAACUCUCAUGCUGAUCAGUAGUGGGGAUGGCAACUGUGAAUAGCUGCUACACUCCAGCCUGGGCAACAUCGCAAGAAACCAUCCCUGC